GUCUCAACAGUAAGCGGUUUUCCCCAAGUUUUCCAGGCCUUCGCGGUCUCAGCUGCCUAGUUUGGGCUGAGACGAUUGAGCCUGGAUAGGACCACUGACCCCUCAGCUGGGUCUGCACAGGCCUGGGGACCUUGUGAUGUUUGGAGGCCUGGAGCCUAGUUGUACCUGUGCACAGGAACCACUGGGCACCUUUCUAAAUCGGGAUUCCCGGCCUCCCCUGGCUGCCUGCGCACCGCACCCCCGGUUCCCCACGCCCCCUCGUUUCCCAUGCCCUGUGGAAUCGCAUCCACAUCUCUCACGCCCUCUGUUCCCUGCGUCCACGCCCCACACGCCCACGCCCCCACGCCCUGCGCUCCCACGCCCUGCGCUCCCACGUCCACGCCCCCCACGCUCUACAACCUUACGUUCACGCCCCCCACGCCCUGCGCUCCCACGUCCACGCCCCCCAGGGCCACACCCCCAUGCUCUGCGACCUCGGGUCUAGCCCCACUCCCACCAGUGUUCCCACAUCCACGCUCCCCACGCCCUGAGUCCCCAAGUCCACGCAGCCCGGGUCAGCUGUUCGCUGCUUCUUUCCUGUCAGUCCUUGGGCUUCGCUGAGGCGUUUUGGAAGCUUGCUGAGCCCUCUCGUCUCGCUGGUUUUUCUUCAUCAAGAAGGGUGAAAAAGGGUGGUGUCAUCUGCAUAUGUGAGAUUGUUGAUAUUUCUCCUGGCAGUCUUGAUUCCAGCUUGUGCUUCAUACAGUCCAGCAUUUCUCAUGAUGUGCUCUGCAUAUAAGGGGCACAGUCUAGCACCUCCGCUGUGACGGUUAUAUUAUACUGCAAACCAGCAGCAGCAGGUGAGAGGACAAGGACCCCAAAGGAUCCUUCAGGUCCCCAGUGGCCACAGCUGACCUGCCCCACAGACCUGCUGCUGCUCCCGCUGGCCCACCUGACCGAGGCGCACCUCUGUGCAUUCACUGCUUCCACUGAGUGUGUCCCUUCUGACCGGGGAAAACGAUCUGGAUACUGUUUAAAAGUUCCUUCAGAUGUGUUUUUCAUCCAUUCGCUGUGGAAGGGAUAUUAUGAAUAUUCAGGGAAAAGAUAGCCUGUGACCCCAACUGUCGAACUGUUUCAACACAGCGAGCAGCAAAGUGAACACGACCUACAUUGAAGCCUCCCAGGGGGAUCUGAAGUUGACAGGAAAUGUUCUCCAGUGUGACUCUGGAGAUUUGGGAAAGAAGUUGGAUCAAGGGUUGUUCAGACUGAGGUUUGGACUUGGGAAAGAAGUUGGAUCAAGAGUUGUUCAGACUGAGUCCCAGUGGACAGAAGUCCACCUGCCAUGUAUAGUCUGAUUGGGAAAGACCAUAGAGGAGGAAGUGGAAGUCACGCUUCUGGAGGAUCAACCAGGACCUGGUGUUCUGUGAGGUGCUGAAAUUUAACUGCCAUAAAAAUCUCCUGAAUCUUAUCUCUACUGACAGUUUUUAGAAGUGGGUUUCAGAGUUUUAUUUGUUAAACUGGAUGCCAGGAACAUAGAGCUGCUGACUCGGGACAGCAGCCCGGAGUCAACUCGUUAGAUGGUCCUCCUUGUCCGUGGGUCCUUCUCGUCCUCGGGUCCUCCCCAUUCACGGGUCUUUCUUGUCUGUGGGUUCCCUUCCAUCCUGUGCGAUUAGCCAGUGGCCACUCUUCUGUGAUGUUAGAGGGUUGCUUCUGUGAUGGGAGGAAGUGGGAAUUAAUUGCCAGAGUCCCUGAAAUGAACAGUGUGACUUUCCCUUUAACCGGUCUCUCUGCACAGAAGACAUUUGGGUUCAUUGUUGUUAUUAUUUAAUAUCUGUUCAUUUGUUUACUUAUGUAUUUGGUUCCUUCUCUGGGUAGGAAACUAGCCAUGCUGCAAACACAUCCCCCCGCCACCCCACACAUACACCCUGACCCCCUGGACAAAGGCAUUCAGCAAUCAUUCCAAGGACCUUUGUCCUCCAUGCCAUUCAUUUCAUUUUAAUAAGUGCAAUUGAUCUGUAUAAGUAACUGUAUUUGGGGCUAUUGUUAUGGUGUACCUUUUUUUUUAUAUUGAUUUAGAAAUAUUUAUGUUUUAAAUUUUGUAAGAAUUUUGUAUGAACUCUCCACAUGUAUUUUUUUUGCUCUCUUUUAUUUAUUUUUUUAACAGAAACAUACAACAUGUUUAAUCAGUUAUACUCCAAUAAAAAAUAUUUUAAAGGUCGUCCACAUGUAUUUUGAACAUAGCUGUAUUUAUCAAGACUUUUUUUUAGUGAUUCAAUAUUUUUAUAGAUUAUUCUCCACUUAAAAUUAUUGUAAAAUAUUUGGUAUAUUCCCUGUGCUAAGCAGUAUAUCCAUGUAGCUUGUUUAUUUUAUACACAGUAGUUUAAUCCUCUAGGUUAAGUCUCUUUUUCUUUCUUAUACUCCAUACCCCUGUCCUCAGAAUGAGUAAAAACUGAAUAAAAACGCUGGACUUAAAGAAUUAAUAUAACUGAAUGUAUGUUACUUUUGUUCCUUCUGUGGGAUAAAAAUGUUGAAUUAAGUGAAGUAAACAAUACUUACUUGAGACAGAUGAGGCCUUCAGUAAGAGGUGAUUUUUAGGAAAAAAGGACUGCAGCUAAAUAUUAAAAAUAAAAUUAAUCUCUGUUAUUGAAAACACUAUCCAUUCUGUAUCAUAUUCCACAUAAAUGGGCUGAGUGCCUGCCUUCCUAACUCCUAAGCAUUCCUAUGAUGUAAGAAUAACACAGUGAUUCUUUCCUAGGAGUUUACAAGAAGGAGGCCCACUUAUUUCUGAAAGCUUUUCAGAUUAAAGAGCCAGUGGAUAUUUUCAUCAGCAAUUUUGAGAAUGACAACUGGGGACUGGAUGGUUAUGUGAGUACUUCCUGGAGGGCCAUCUAAUCAUCAUGUCUGCGUAGAGGUGGGGGCACCAAUGGGUGUUCCUUCCAAGACAACCUGGGCCCUGUCUGCACCAUGAAAACUCAGGGCCCUCAUCCUGGCCUGACAGCCAUGUCACCCCUUCAUCAUCUGAUGGAAGAAAGCUGUCCCUGAGAUGAGAAUGAAACUGACCAGGAGAGACAGGCCAUCCCUGCCGGACACACAAGAGCCUCGAUGCAGACCACGCCCCACUGUCAGAGUGGGACUCUACCCAGGCCUCAGCAACCACCCUGCAUGGGCUGAGAAAGGGAGAUUCCAGAGGCACCUUCACAGUCUCCUUUGCAAGUUAACCCUUUGCUUCUGCACUAAUUCAUCAUAGAACUUGAACAUAAAGGGUCUUGCAUGAUAUGCAUGAGACAGUAGCUGUGACACAGUGAGUUGUACAUAAUAUAGGCUCUGAGGUAAUUCAUACAUGUGUCCCCAUUUACAAAGGACACUCAACCUAUAAAUAAGGUGUCAAAUUUACUACUACUGUUUUUGAGAUCAAAAUGAGAGUUUGUUAAUUGAAGUUCAUGUCUAUAUUUUUCAAUUUUAACUAUAAAUGUGAAACUCAAAGGAAUGACAAAUUUUUAAGAGAACCAUUAAUGUCUAAAUAAGAGAAAUAAUAUGAUAAAAGGAGAGGUUAUGAUUAAUCCUUGUUGAUUUCUUCCCUUUCAUGUGUAUCAGGUAUCAUCCAGACUUGAAAGGGAAGGGUUUACUUUUCAAGGUGACAUACACAGAAAAGACUGGGAAAUAUAAGCUGGAAAGGCAAGGUAUGCUGCACUUACGUGAUUUUUCAAAGCAAGUAUCAGAUUGGUCUGCAGAUGACUGAGCUGAGUGUGAUAGAAAAGACGUGAUUUAAAAGAAACAGAAACAAAAAUAAUGGGAAAGACUCAUGUAUUUGGAAAAAAGUCCCCUUCACUGGCAGCAAAAUAGAAAAUAUCAGCUGGUAUAAAUGCAAUAAAUAUGCAAGACACAGAAUAUCCUUAAUUUACAAAGAGAUAUUUUUGAAAAACAGGAAAAAAGGCAAAGUGGAAAUGCAAAAGAAUAAACAAACUACGUUACCCCAAGAAUAUCAUUAAAUAUAAAAUGGCCAACAAACUAUGAAAAGAUCUUAACUUGAAAAAUAUGUAUUAUGACAAUAAAGGUAGAUCAUUUUCAGCUAUGAGAAUGUUGAAGUUUCUUAACAAUGAUUUGGGGUGGUCUAGAAAAAGGCACCUGAAUGUUCAUUUUUGGUGAGUGUGUGAAAUGUAUACAAUUUGACAGUAUUCUUUUAUCAACGAUUCUACCUCUAAAAUUUUAAUCGACAAAUGUGAUCAUUUUUUUUUGCAUAUUCAGGUAUGUGUAUAGUAGGAUUAUUUUUAAUACAUGAAAUCAGAAAUAACCUGGGUAUCUCACACAUCUAUCUUAAAUGAAUUGCUUCUUACAUCAAUCUUAUACAAUGUGUUACAUUAAAUAGAAGACAGCUUAGUAUAUGUCACUAGAGAACAAAGAUUACAUAAUGAUGUAGAAAGAUGUUCAUGACAUACAUGAGAACGAAGUUUGUUUUAGACAGAAGAGACAAAUGUGCCUGCCUUCUUUAUGUCUAUCUCAAGUACUAACUAGACAUGAAAAAUGUUUGGAAAAAACAGUAGAUGUGAAGCUUACCUUAUCUACUUGCUAGUUUUGUGAUCCAGGAGGAAUUACAACAUUCUUGAGCCUAUUUCUUCGUCUGAAAUCUCAGUAAAGAGUCAGUUCCCUAUUGCUGUCAAGAUUGAGAGUCAGUAUGAGGGUUUGCUUUGUGCUAAAGCUCUUCUCACACACAUCUUCACUCAUGUUGCUACUAACACAGAUGAGAAGCAGCAUCUCUCACGGAGAUGAGAUGAUGAGCACUACGUUUCUCCUGAAUAGUAUCAGCUACUUUCUACUUUACUUACAGAGUGCUACUAACAUAUUAAUUGUACACAGAAGAGUACUUCAAUGUAGGAUUUGACACUGAGCAGCCUUUCAGAGGAAAGUAUAGUACUUGGCAAUGGAUGUCCCUGAUGUACUCAUGUCAUAAAACCUUUAUCAAUAUCCUGAGGGAAAUAUAUACUAACUGUGUAAUAUCACACUUGAAAAACAAAAAACUUGACCAAAAGGGAUAAUUAAUCAUAAAAUACUCUAAAUUCGCCUUUCCAAACUAAGACCUUUUACAUAGAAAAGCUUUAAAUUACAGUCAGCCAUCAAUGAGAUGGUGCUUUCAGUGGGGUUCUAUUAUUUUGAGAUAAUGAAAAUAGGCUAACACUAAUGAUAGUGAAGUUUUCUCUUGCUCUGAGCCAAAUCCUGUGGUUAUCUGCCCUCCUCUCUCCAAGACACACUCUCUAGUAAUUUGCGUCUACGAACACCCCAGCAAGCCAUGCACUAUACUCUGUGGAUGUCGGAGUUUACUGGUCCAGUCAGCCUGACGGGAACCAUCACUUUGCUAUUUUUUUUGCACCGCCCCAUUUCUUUUUAAUCUAACAAAACAGCAGCUUGCUUUAACAAGUAAUCUUUCUUCUCAUGUGAUGAUGAGCUUAUUGUCAGAAAAAACAAUUUCCCUCACAAAAUAAUUUGAAUCACAAGCAAGCCCCCCAUUCAACUAAUGAGAAAAGUCUGUGUGUAAGUAAUGCUUCAACAGGAGCCAUUCAUUUCAGAGUUAUGGCCACACUCUGUUUUUAUGGAUAAAAAUAAACCACCUCUUAAUUGUCUCCAGUCAGUAGAUAAAC
ensembl:lncRNA